CCUACGGGGGGCAGCAGUGAGGAAUAUUGGUCAAUGGGCGCGAGCCUGAACCAGCCAAGUCGCGUGAGGGAAGACGGCCCUACGGGUUGUAAACCUCUUUUGCCGGGGAGCAACGGGCGCCACGUGUGGCGCCACUGAGAGUACCCGGAGAAAAAGCAUCGGCUAACUCCGUGCCAGCAGCCGCGGUAAUACGGAGGAUGCGAGCGUUAUCCGGAUUUAUUGGGUUUAAAGGGUGCGUAGGCGGAGCGUUAAGUCAGUGGUCAAAUUGAGGGGCUCAACCACUUCCCGCCAUUGAAACUGGCGAUCUUGAGUGGAAGAGAAGUAUGCGGAAUGCGUGGUGUAGCGGUGAAAUGAAUAGAUAUCACGCAGAACCCGGAUUGCGAAGGCAGCAUGCCGGCUUCCUACGGACGCUGAAGCACGAAAGCGUGGGGAUCGAACAGGAUUAGAUACCCUAGUAGUC
rnacentral:rRNA from 1 species